rnacentral:lncRNA from 1 species
AUCUAAAUAUAGAUAAUAAGAAUAAUGUGGAAUGAAGUUCACACCGCGGGUCAGUAGGCGGCGGUAAAGCAACUUUGGCGAGGCUGCAAGCUGCCAUGAGGAAAUGGAAGAGGAAGAGAGGAUCCACUUCCUCCCAUAAAUCCCUUCGGAGAACGUCACUUCCUCUUUGACAUUCGGCGGAGCCAGACGGAAGAGCCGCAGCGACCCGCGUUUGGCUCAGUAACGGCGGAGAUUCGGUGUCGGCGGCGGCUCGUCGUGUGGCGGAGACAGAGGAGACACACUCGGCUUUAGUUGGACGGUCGGACCGCGUAGAUGGACGUGGCGGCGGAGGAUGGCGGCUAGCUAACCGGCUAACCGGCUGGGCAGUUAGCAGACGGACGCCACGUGUUCGGAGCACGGGGGACGGAGGGACACCCGGCGGCCAGAUCCAGACGGAGUCGUCGACCUCCAGGAAAGGACGUCGCUGAGCGGAUCCAUUCAGAGGCCUUUUGGUUCCUGCUGCUGCCCCAGAGAGAAAAAAAAAGGUAUCCUGAAUAUGGAACAUACUAAAGGAAAAUAACUAAUAAAAACUGAAGUGUCUAAAAGUGGAAGAAGUCUUUUUUGUGUCUUUGUGUAAGAAAAAUGAAGUUAAGCAUUUGACUUAAGUUUAACAUUGACUUAAAACUUUAUUAACUUAGAAAGUGCUUUUUGAAGUGUCACAUUCAAGUCAAAUCACUUCACAACAACACACAGACCUUUAAGUCCAAAAGUUGCAAAGUCAUUUCACUUCAAUGCACAAAGCUGCUUCAUCCAAAUCGAACUCAUCUUUGCUCUGGACUGCAACACUGACAAA